CCUGAGAAACCCAAAAGAUCGAUCGGGGAGAUUCAUCGUCAGCGAUUCUGGUACGUGUGCGGUUCGCGAUGUUGCGGGACUUCGGUCCAGUGACACGCGUCCGCGCAUGUUUACAAUUGCCAGGUGUCGUCGGCGUGCACUUCUCCCCUAGUAGAACGUCGCGACCCGUUGGGUGUCGGUCUACGGCCCGGAUGGUAGUCUGUCGUGCGUCGCGCCUUGUGCCGACAUGCGGCAGACCGCCGGUCGCCCGACCGGCUGCCCGGCGGUACUCGCACGGUAUCCGAGCCGCAAAUAUUUGAACUGCGUCCGGCCCGCCGCAAGCGAGGUCAGUGUUUCCCGGAUGUGCGGACCUAGCGCCGUCACCGGGCCUGACCAGCUGUUGGUCGGUGGUGUCCUGGGACUGGCUCAAUCAAUUAUGAUACCGGUCGGCGACGCUACUGCUUUGGGUACUUUAA
rnacentral:rRNA from 1 species